AUGCACCCAGAUGAUAUACACAAGACUGCCUUCAGGACCUUUUGGGGGCAUUUUGAGUACUUAGUCAUGCCUUUUGGGCUGUCUAAUGCUCCUGGCACAUUCCAAGAACUGAUGAAUACAAUAUUUGCUCCCUAUUUGAGAAAGUUUGUGUUGAUGUUUUUUGAUGAUAUCCUCAUCUACAGCAAAGACCUCAAAGAGCACCUGGAACAUGUCCAAAUGGUUUUACAAGUGUUGAAGGACCAUAAGUUGUUUGCAAACAUGUCCAAGUGCAGCUUUGUAGUGCAAAAAGUGGAGUAUCUAGGACAUGUGAUUUCUGAGAAGGGAGUAGCUACUGAUCCACAAAAGAUUGCAGCAAUUGCUGAUUGGCCAACUCCUAACACAGUCACAAAGUUGAGAAUCUUCUUGGGUUUGGCUGGGUAUUAUAGAAGGUUUAUUAAAGAUUAUGGCCUUAUUUGUAGGCCACUACAUGACCUUCUAAAGAAAGGACAGUUCCAAUGGACCCUAGUGCAGGACAAGGCCUUCUGUACACUGAAACAAGCAUUAACUACAACUCCAGUUCUGGCACUACCAAAUUUCAGUCAACCAUUUGUAUUGGAAACUGAUGCAUCAGGAAAGGGCACUGGGGAAGUUCUCAUGCAGGGAGGAAGACCCAUAUCUUAUUACAGCUCUGCUCUGUGUCCAAGAAAUGCAGCUCUCUCUACUUAUGAAAAAGAAGCUCUAGCUAUUUUGGAAGCAUUAAAGAGGUGGAGGCACUAUUUGCUGGGCAAUGAGCUGGUGCUCAAAACUGAUCAACAAUCCUUAAAGUUCAUCACAUAUCAGAAAAUAACAGAGGGAGUAUAA
rnacentral:rRNA from 1 species